ACUCCUACGGGAGGCAGCAGUGGGGAAUAUUGCACAAUGGGCGCAAGCCUGAUGCAGCCAUGCCGCGUGUAUGAAGAAGGCCUUCGGGUUGUAAAGUACUUUCAGCGGGGAGGAAGGCGAUAAGGUUAAUAACCUUGUCGAUUGACGUUACCCGCAGAAGAAGCACCGGCUAACUCCGUGCCAGCAGCCGCGGUAAUACGGAGGGUGCAAGCGUUAAUAGGAAUUACUGGGCGUAAAGCGCACGCAGGCGGUCUGUCAAGUCGGAUGUGAAAUCCCCGGGCUCAACCUGGGAACUGCAUUCGAAACUGGCAGGCUAGAGUCUUGUAGAGGGGGGUAGAAUUCCAGGUGUAGCGGUGAAAUGCGUAGAGAUCUGGAGGAAUACCGGUGGCGAAGGCGGCCCCCUGGACAAAGACUGACGCUCAGGUGCGAAAGCGUGGGGAGCAAACAGGAUUAGAAACCCUUGUAGUCCCAUGAU
rnacentral:rRNA from 1 species